UACAGAGGUCUCAAGCGUUGUUCGGAUUCAUUGGGCGUAAAGGGUGCGUAGGCGGCGCGGUAAGUCGGAUGUGAAAUCCCGGGGCUCAACCCCGGAACUGCAUUCGAUACUGCUGCGCUAGAGUACUGGAGAGGAGAUUGGAAUUUACGGUGUAGCAGUGAAAUGCGUAGAUAUCGUAAGGAAGACCAGUGGCGAAGGCGGAUCUCUGGACAGUUACUGACACUGAGGCACGAAGGCCAGGGGAGCAAACGGG
rnacentral:rRNA from 1 species